ACUCAAAGGAAUUGACGGGGGCCCGCACAAGCGGCGGAGCAUGUGGCUUAAUUCGAUGCAACGCGAAGAACCUUACCUGGGUUGAACUACGCAGGAAAAGCCGUAGAGAUGCGGUGUCCGUAAGGGCCUGCGAUAGGUGGUGCAUGGCUGUCGUCAGCUCGUGUCGUGAGAUGUUGGGUUAAGUCCCGCAACGAGCGCAACCCUUGUCCUAUGUUGCCAGCGGGUAAUGCCGGGGACUCGUAGGAGACUGCCGGGGUCAACUCGGAGGAAGGUGGGGAUGACGUCAAGUCAUCAUGCCCCUUAUGUCCAGGGCUGCACACAUGCUACAAUGGCCGGUACAAAGGGCUGCUAUCCCGCGAGGGUGAGCGAAUCCCAUAAAGCCGGUCUCAGUUCGGAUCGGAGUCUGCAACUCGACUCCGUGAAGUCGGAGUCGCUAGUAAUCCCGGAUCAGCAACGCCGGGGUGAAUACGUUCCCGGGCCUUGUACACACCGCCCGU
rnacentral:rRNA from 1 species